rnacentral:tRNA from 1 species
GGCUAGGUAGCUCAGUGGUAGAGCAGGAGAAUCAUAAUCUUCGGGCCGUGGGUUCGAGUCCCUCCUUAGCCA